rnacentral:tRNA from 1 species
GAACCGGUACGCAAACGAUAAAGCGGCCAGGCUCUCAACCUGGUGAUUGUGGGUUCAACUCCCAUCCGGUUUACCA